AAGUCGUAACAAGGUAUCCGUAGGUGAACCUGCGGAUGGAUCAUUAACAAGUAUUAAUACUUAAUUAACACCUGUGAACUGUAAGGGACUUACUCUCCCGCUUUUAUUAUAUUUUUAUACUGAAUACAUGAUAUAUAACAAUCAUAAAACUUUUAGCAACGGAUCUCUGGGCUCUC
rnacentral:misc_RNA from 1 species